CGAGAACCAGCGACCAAAGGCAUUCCACCUCAAAGAAAAGCAGCUUGGCCCGAGGUUUAGAUCCUUUGCAUUGUUCUAGUUCAAGGGCAGGCAACCUUCGGCACGCCAGAUGUUGUGGACUAUUUCUCCCCUGUUUGCCAGCAUCAUGGCUAUAAAAGCAUUAUGGGAGGUGACAUCAUGUUUUACUGUUGGAUAUGCACAUGGAGAAUAC